AAACCAACGAAAUAAAAGCAACGAAAAUUAGUUAACUAAACCAUUUACUAAACAUUUAUUGAAAUCAAGUAGUUGUGGUGCACACGAGGCAAAGACAAAUGAAACCAACUCAAAAGUUCAAAAGUUAAACUCGCCUAGAUCUAAUUGCAUUUGUUGAAUUGGGUAAUAAUAGUAAGUGUAGGACAAAAAAAGUAAUUGCGUGGGCUUAAAUUAAAUCUAUACAGCUAAGUUAGCGUUACUUUCUGCUUCUCAGACGCUUCUGUUGCGCAACUUAACUUAUCCAAUCGAUAAUUAAACGUGUAAUGAUAAUUGUAAAAUGAAUAGAAAACAUAGUCUUACUAACUAAUUCAAUAGUAUAGGUGUAGGUGAACAAAAUUCAAUUCGUCGCUCGUCCUUACCGGCGCGAUUCGAAACACAUUCUUGGUGAUAAAGUAUAUAUAAAAAAAAAUAGGUGAAAAACGAUUUUCUAUUAAGGCAAAUUAGGUUAAAGCGCCACAUCGCAAUCGCAGGUGCAGAUUUUCAUUCAGCCAGCCGUCGCUCGUUAAAGUUAAACAUAACAUAAAGCUGCCAAAGCCAGGUGUGUGUGUGUGAUCGUGUGUGGGAUCGAGUGUGUGUGUGUGUUCGUGUG
rnacentral:sRNA from 1 species